rnacentral:rRNA from 2 species
GGGGUGGUGGCGGGCAGGCCUAACACAUGCAAGUCGAGCGGUAGAGAGAAGCUUGCUUCUCUUGAGAGCGGCGGACGGGUGAGUAAUGCCUAGGAAUCUGCCUGGUAGUGGGGGAUAACGUUCGGAAACGGACGCUAAUACCGCAUACGUCCUACGGGAGAAAGCAGGGGACCUUCGGGCCUUGCGCUAUCAGAUGAGCCUAGGUCGGAUUAGCUAGUUGGUGGGGUAAUGGCUCACCAAGGCGACGAUCCGUAACUGGUCUGAGAGGAUGAUCAGUCACACUGGAACUGAGACACGGUCCAGACUCCUACGGGAGGCAGCAGUGGGGAAUAUUGGACAAUGGGCGAAAGCCUGAUCCAGCCAUGCCGCGUGUGUGAAGAAGGUCUUCGGAUUGUAAAGCACUUUAAGUUGGGAGGAAGGGCAGUAAAUUAAUACUUUGCUGUUUUGACGUUACCGACAGAAUAAGCACCGGCUAACUCUGUGCCAGCAGCCGCGGUAAUACAGAGGGUGCAAGCGUUAAUCGGAAUUACUGGGCGUAAAGCGCGCGUAGGUGGUUAGUUAA